UACAGAGGAUGCAAGCGUUAUCCGGAAUCACUGGGCGUAAAGCGCACGUAGGCGGCUUUUUAAGUCAGGGGUGAAAUCCUGGAGCUCAACUCCAGAACUGCCUUUGAUACUGAGAAGCUUGAGUCCGGGAGAGGUGAGUGGAACUGCGAGUGUAGAGGUGAAAUUCGUAGAUAUUCGCAAGAACACCAGUGGCGAAGGCGGCUCACUGGCCCGGUACUGACGCUGAGGUGCGAAAGCGUGGGGAGCAAACAGG
rnacentral:rRNA from 1 species